GAAAAACCAAAAAAGACCAAAGUCUUUCAGUGUUUCUUGAAAGUUCCUGUUUCUCGAGUGUGACAUCACAACACACAGGGUGGGGUGAAAGUCAAAAAAGAAAACUGCAUGCAAGCUCCGGAUUUGACUCAGCUGACAAGCGGAAUCUGGUCUAAGACAUACUCCAAACAUAAAAAGCAGAAAUGGCAUGCAGACGAGAGCAACUCUUUGAGCUCAUCCAACAUCUGCAUCACUUAAAUCUAGAUGUUGAAAGAAUGGAUGUGGACUUUGAUCUCAAGUCACAAAUAUCUGAAUCAAAUGACAAUGAAUUCAUUCUUGCAAUCAUGGUUGACUGAAGUGGGCUUCCUUUUUGAAACCCCUCCCUCCCUCCCUCCCAUUCAUACCUCAGUUUUACUCUGCAUAUAAGGAGAAAUUCACAGAACGAUGACAAGGCUCAAAGUCUGAAGGAACCUUCAAUGAAAGAUUGAAAAACUCUCAACAACGACUAAGUGGACUCUUUAUCUUCCUUUACUCAUUUAUUAUUAUUAUUUUUUUUUUAUAUUAAAACUUUUUUUAAAUAAAAUUAGUUAUAAUUUAGAUUUUUUUUUAUUUAUUUUUUUAUCUUAAAUAAAAUUUUAGAUUCAGUAAUGUUUUCAUAUGUUGAUUGCCAGAAAGACCCACACAUGCUUAUUUACUCAGGUGCCACAUGAUGACAUUAGUGAGAUCAGUGAAAUCUUCCAGAAGCUAAAUCUGGGGGAAGAAGAGAUGGAGGUGGAGGUGGAGGUGGAGAAGAUGAUGGUAGAGAGGAUUGAGCUGGAGGAGAAGGUGGAAAAGAUGGAUGUGGACGUGGAUGUUAUGGAUGAGAUCAGACAGAUGAUCGAAGUGAUAAUCAGACUGAUGAUCACAGCCAGGAUCUGAUAAAUGAGCAUUUGGAAAAAUUUGACUGAAACAGCAAAUCUUCAUUUCAAACACUGUAUAUGUGUCUAUGGCAUAUUUUGGACUUUUCUCUAUACAUGCUGGACCUUCCUUGUUCGGAGCAACCAGUUUUUCCUGCGCCACAGAUCUGGUCGCUUUUGCUGAAAGUCCUCUAUAAGAUAGUGUAUAUAUAUAUAUAUAUGUUUUAUAUAUAUGUUAUAGUGUGUAUAUAUGGUUUUUUUUGUUUUUUUUUCUUUCAUCAAUUUGUAUUAAAAUUGAAACAAAGUAUAAGUCCUCCAAAGUGGGGGGGUGGAUGGUAUGGGUUUAAAAAAUGAUGAAAGUAUAAAAAUACAUAUGGUUCAAAGGUUCUUCUGUGAUUUUUGUUCUGCCAGUUUAUCAUUUACAUUCAUUUAAAUUAAUUUUAAACCAGAGAUGCCCAAACUAAGGAGCGUUGUGGCAAAGCUGGUCUGUCGUGACUUUUGAUUUGGUCCAUCAUGCCAUAUCUGAGA